rnacentral:rRNA from 1 species
AGAGUUUGAUCCUGGCUCAGGACGAACGCUGGCGGCGUGCCUAAUACAUGCAAGUAGAACGCUGAAGAGAGGAGCUUGCUCUUCUUGGAUGAGUUGCGAACGGGUGAGUAACGCGUAGGUAACCUGCCUUGUAGCGGGGGAUAACUAUUGGAAACGAUAGCUAAUACCGCAUAACAAUGGAUGACACAUGUCAUUUAUUUGAAAGGGGCAAUUGUUCCACUACAAGAUGGACCUGCGUUGUAUUAGCUAGUAGGUGAGGUAAUGGCUCACCUAGGCGACGAUACAUAGCCGACCUGAGAGGGUGAUCGGCCACACUGGGACUGAGACACGGCCCAGACUCCUACGGGAGGCAGCAGUAGGGAAUCUUCGGCAAUGGGGGCAACCCUGACCGAGCAACGCCGCGUGAGUGAAGAAGGUUUUCGGAUCAUAAAGCUCUGUUGUAAGUCAAGAACGGGUGUGAGAGUGGAAAGUUCACACUGUGACGGUAGCUUACCAGAAAGGGACGGCUAACUACAUGCCAGCAGCCGCGGUAAUACGUAGGUCCCGAGCGUUGUCCGGAUUUAUUGGGCGUAAAGCGAGCGCAGGCGGUUUGAUAAGUCUGAAGUUAAAGGCUGUGGCUCAACCAUAGUUCGCUUUGGAAACUGUCAAACUUGAGUGCAGAAGGGGAGAGUGGAAUUCCAUGUGUAGCGGUGAAAUGCGUAGAUAUAUGGAGGAACACCGGUGGCGAAAGCGGCUCUCUGGUCUGUAACUGACGCUGAGGCUCGAAAGCGUGGGGAGCGAACAGGAUUAGAUACCCUGGUAGUCCACGCCGUAAACGAUGAGUGCUAGGUGUUGGAUCCUUUCCGGGAUUCAGUGCCGCAGCUAACGCAUUAAGCACUCCGCCUGGGGAGUACGACCGCAAGGUUGAAACUCAAAGGAAUUGACGGGGGCCCGCACAAGCGGUGGAGCAUGUGGUUUAAUUCGAAGCAACGCGAAGAACCUUACCAGGUCUUGACAUCCCGAUGCUAUUUCUAGAGAUAGAAAGUUACUUCGGUACAUCGGUGACAGGUGGUGCAUGGUUGUCGUCAGCUCGUGUCGUGAGAUGUUGGGUUAAGUCCCGCAACGAGCGCAACCCCUAUUGUUAGUUGCCAUCAUUCAGUUGGGCACUCUAGCGAGACUGCCGGUAAUAAACCGGAGGAAGGUGGGGAUGACGUCAAAUCAUCAUGCCCCUUAUGACCUGGGCUACACACGUGCUACAAUGGUUGGUACAACGAGUUGCGAGUCGGUGACGGCGAGCUAAUCUCUUAAAGCCAAUCUCAGUUCGGAUUGUAGGCUGCAACUCGCCUACAUGAAGUCGGAAUCGCUAGUAAUCGCGGAUCAGCACGCCGCGGUGAAUACGUUCCCGGGCCUUGUACACACCGCCCGUCACACCACGAGAGUUUGUAACACCCGAAGUCGGUGAGGUAACCUUUUGGAGCCAGCCGCCUAAGGUGGGACAGAUGAUUGGGGUGAAGUCGUAACAAGGUA